rnacentral:rRNA from 1 species
AGGAAGGAGAAGUCGUAACAAGGUCUCCAUAGGUGAACCUGCGGAAGGAUCUUUG